AGUGAACGCUGGCGGUAGGCCUAACACAUGCAAGUCGAACGGCAGCACAGUAAGAGCUUGCUCUUACGGGUGGCGAGUGGCGGACGGGUGAGGAAUACAUCGGAAUCUACUUUUUCGUGGGGGAUAACGUAGGGAAGCUUACGCUAAUACCGCAUACGACCUACGGGUGAAAGCAGGGGAUCUUCGGACCUUGCGCGAUUGAAUGAGCCGAUGUCGGAUUAGCUAGUUGGCGGGGUAAAGGCCCACCAAGGCGACGAUCCGUAGCUGGUCUGAGAGGAUGAUCAGCCACACUGGAACUGAGACACGGUCCAUACUCCUACGGGAGGCAGCAGUGGGGAAUAUUGGACAAUGGGCGCAAGCCUGAUCCAGCCAUACCGCGUGGGUGAAGAAGGCCUUCGGGUUGUAAAGCCCUUUUGUUGGGAAAGAAAAGCAGCAGGUUAAUACCCCGCUGUUCUGACGGUACCCAAAGAAUAAGCACCGGCUAACUUCGUG
rnacentral:rRNA from 1 species